rnacentral:pre_miRNA from 13 species
GUAUAUAUACACGUAUAUACGUAUAUACGUGUAUAUAUACACACAUAUACACACAUACGUAUAUAUAUGUGUAUAUAUA